UACGUCGGGGGCUAGCGUUGUCCGGAAUCAUUGGGCGUAAAGCGCGCGUAGGCGGCCCGGUAAGUCCGCUGUGAAAGUCAAAGGCUCAACCUUUGAAUGUCAGCGGAUACUGCCAGGCUAGAGUCCGGAAGAGGCGAGUGGAACUCCUGGUGUAGCGGUGGAAUGCGCAGAUAUCAGGAAGAACACCAACGGCGAAGGCAGCUCGCUGGGACGGAACUGACGCUAAGGCGCGAAAGCGUGGGGAGCGAACAGG
rnacentral:rRNA from 1 species